UUCCGACUAGGCGAUGAGGCUCGCCGUAACCGCCGCACCUGGCUAAUGGCCUCUACCGAAUG
rnacentral:ncRNA from 2 species